rnacentral:rRNA from 1 species
GGUAGUCCACGCCGUAAACGAUGUCGACUUGGAGGUUGUGCCCUUGAGGCGUGGCUUCCGGAGCUAACGCGUUAAGUCGACCGCCUGGGGAGUACGGCCGCAAGGUUAAAACUCAAAUGAAUUGACGGGGGCCCGCACAAGCGGUGGAGCAUGUGGUUUAAUUCGAUGCAACGCGAAGAACCUUACCUACUCUUGACAUCCAGAGAACUUAGCAGAGAUGCUUUGGUGCCUUCGGGAACUCUGAGACAGGUGCUGCAUGGCUGUCGUCAGCUCGUGUUGUGGAAUGUUGGGUUAAGUCCCGCAACGAGCGCAACCCUUAUCCUUUGUUGCCAGCGGUUAGGCCGGGAACUCAAAGGAGACUGCCAGUGAUAAACUGGAGGAAGGUGGGGAUGACGUCAAGUCAUCAUGGCCCUUACGAGUAGGGCUACACACGUGCUACAAUGGCGCAUACAAAGAGAAGCGACCUCGCGAGAGUAAGCGGACCUCAUAAAGUGCGUCGUAGUCCGGAUUGGAGUCUGCAACUCGACUCCAUGAAGUCGGAAUCGCUAGUAAUCGUAGAUCAGAAUGCUACGGUGAAUACGUUCCCGGGCCUUGUACACACCGCCCGUCACACCAUGGGAGUGGGUUGCAAAAGAAGUAGGUAGCUUAACCUUCGGGAGGGCGCUUACCACUUUGUGAUUCAUGACUGGGGUGAAGUCGUAACAAGGUAACCGUAGGGGAACCUGC